rnacentral:pre_miRNA from 1 species
AGAUAAAUUCAAACCUGUCAAACAACAGGACUCAAGCAUUUCGCUCGACGUUCAUGUUUUCCUUUGAAAAGAAUAAAUUUUUGUUAGGCUUGCUUUAGAUGAUGAUAUUCAAGUGACAACGAAAUGAGGUUCAUUCCUUGACACUUAAUACCUUCAUCUAAACCAGCCUAACAAAAAUUUAAUCUUUUCAAAGGAAAAACAUGAAUGCCGAGCGAAAUGCUUGAGUCAUGUUGUUUGGCAGGUUUGAAUUUAUC